rnacentral:tRNA from 1 species
UGCUUGGAAGUUUAUACGUUAGGUUGCAAACUUAAAAAAGCUUUUGCCCAGGCUG